GACGGAGGGUGCUAGCGUUGUUCGGAAUCACUGGGCGUAAAGGGCGCGUAGGCGGCCCAUGCCGUCGGCUCGUGAAAGCCCGGGGCUCAACCCCGGAGGUGCGGCCGAGACCCAUGGGCUGGAGGCCGGAAGAGGAGGGUGGAAUACCCAGUGUAGAGGUGAAAUUCGUAGAUAUUGGGUGGAACACCGGUGGCGAAAGCGGCUCUCUGGUCCGGUUCUGACUCUGAGGCGCGAAAGCGUGGGGAGCAAACAGG
rnacentral:rRNA from 1 species